UGGCUACGAGGACGAACGCUGGCGGUGUGCUUCACACAUGCAAGUCGAACGAGGUAGCAAUACCUAGUGGCGGACGGGUGAGUAACGCGUGGGAAUCUGCCUUUAGAUGGGGGAUAACGGGUCGAAAGACUCGCUAAUACCGCAUAUGACGAAAGUUGAAAGGAGUAAUCCGUCUAAAGAUGAGCCCGCGUCCGAUUAGCUAGUUGGUAGAGUAAAAGCCUACCAAGGCGACGAUCGGUAGCUGGUCUGAGAGGAUGAUCAGCCACAAUGGGACUGAGACACGGCCCAUACUCCUACGGGAGGCAGCAGUGGGAAUUUUACGCAAUGGGCGAAAGCCUGACGUAGCGACACCGCGUGAGCGAAGAAGCCCCUUGGGGUGUAAAGCUCUGUCAGCUGGAACGAAAAAAUGACGGUACCAGCAGAGGAAGCAUCGGCUAACUACGUG
rnacentral:rRNA from 1 species